UACGGGGGGGGCAAGCGUUGUUCGGAAUUACUGGGCGUAAGGCUCGUAGGUGGCCAACUAAGUCAGACGUGAAAUCCCUCGGCUUAACCGGGGAACUGCGUCUGAUACUGGAUGGCUUGAGUUCGGGAGAGGGAUGCGGAAUUCCAGGUGUAGCGGUGAAAUGCGUAGAUAUCUGGAGGAACACCGGUGGCGAAGGCGGCAUCCUGGACCGGCAUUGACGCUGAGGAGCGAAAGCCAGGGGAGCAAACGGG
rnacentral:rRNA from 1 species